rnacentral:tRNA from 1 species
GGCUGGGUAGCUCAGCUGGUCAGAGCAUGCGACUCAUAACCGCAUGGUCGCGGGUUCGAGUCCCGCCCCAGCCA